rnacentral:lncRNA from 1 species
GGAAAAGCCUCAGCAACAGGGAAGGAACCCCUCCUUGCCCCUUUCCAAUAAAUUCUCCUCAUAGCACGCUGUACCUCUCCAGAGACGUUUAGAGAUUGUCAUUCAUUUAAUUGCUUGAAAAGCCCAAACCAAACAAGAGUUGCUGGAGGUUGGCCCUGUUUGUUGGCUGUCUGCAGAUUUACAAUUUAGCACCACGCGGAUCUUCCAAGUCGAAGUGUUAGAAAUCUGAGGGGCUCAUUCUACCUCUCCAAACACAAUGGGCAAGAGUGGAAAAGCUUCAGAGUCCCCAGAAGGCAUCAAACCCAAUUACGUUACAACACGUGUGCAGCCCUUUAAGCUGCUCAUUAACAUUUGGAAAAUUCUUCUGGUAAAUGUCUUCAUAUCCAAUUUAGCCUUCUUUUCCUUUCCCUCCACUGCCCUCAUUUCAUAGUCAGGCCACGGUAAUGAGCUAUAUAAAUGUAACUCUUUAAACGAAGAAUGUCAUCACUUAGGAAUACAAGAGAGCAGUACAUGUUGUGUAUGUCUACAAACUGCAGUUGCUGUCUGUUAGAGUUUGUAGCAACUUUUAAAUCUGUCAACACGGCAUGAAUUUCAUACUAAGCUCCUUCCCGGUGCUCGAGCCAGGAAGCAAAGGGGGAACAGGCUAUAUCAUUUAUGGGCAGGCUGGUACUGGGUCAACUGUGACAUCACAGUCCUCUCCCACCAUAAUGAGGUGAAAGACUAGACUGCAACAACGUAGCACUUUGUUUAUUGGGGAAAUUUAAGCAGGGCUGUAUUUCAGCUUGUGAUAAAACUGAAACAAAAGAUAUGGAUUACAGAUUUUUAACAGCUCCCAACAAGAGGAGAGUGAAAAAGCGUCAUCUAGGAAUUUAGUGAAAAAUGCCAAAAGUCAAAGGAUUAAAGUAGGCUCCAAGCAGGCUGGUCCCUUGGCAUUUACACUGGACACAUUGGCUCAACUAAAACAUUAGCACAUCAGCCAAGUAUCUAGCUUUUAUUUCAUUCCUAUGAUUAAUACUUAAGCAGAGAGGAACAUGUGUGUACGUGUGUGUGUGUGUAUUUAAAAAGUAUGGGUCUCCUCUUUAAUACCCUGGCAGGUCUCUACCUUGAUCAAAAUUUUAUAUUCAAAAGUAUAACCUUACAUAUCAUGUUUUCUAAAGUCUUCUCCACAAAUAUUGCGUAACAUUAUCUACUUCUAUUUCUCCAUAUAAUUACUUACAGCAUUUGAAUUUAUGAAUAACCUACUGAAUACAAUAUUGUAUAGUAAGACAUAUAUGGCAAAUAAGAGAGGAAAGAAAAACCUUCCAAGACCUACCUUUAUCUAGAAUUAGGAAAAUUUUAUUUAGAAUUGUAGCUGAUACCUACAUUUUGGUGUAUUUAUCUAUCACACCUUGAGGCGCCAUCCUCAGCAGGUGCCCAGUAUUUGGGGAACAGCUAUGUCCACAGCUAUAAGGCAGAGUAAAAUGAGGACCCUGAGUCAAGUGCAGGUACUAAUAGCAACCCAGAAUUAAAAACCAUUAAACUCACCUAAAAUUAUUUUAUCUUUUGCUGAAAGAACCCCUAGACCUAAACUUGACCUAUAUGUCAAUAAAGCAAAAGGCUUGAGCCAUUCCUGUUAGGAUGGGACCUAAGUCCCUUCUCAAGUGAGAAGGACACCAGUGCUUCAUACCACCAAAGUCCCAUCGCAUUCUCUGGAGGAGCUUAUUUUGCAAAUUGCUCUAAAUAGUUCUUCUAUUCCAUUUAAGUGAGAAAUUUAUUCUAAGAGAAAACAUCCACUGUGGGACUAAAACUCUGCAAUUACUUCUGUUCUUAAUUUUCUCAGCUCUAAUCAGAUACAACCUAGCAGAAUCAGGCCUAAAUUUUACCAAUUCUUCCCCUUGACAUUUUUGAAAUGUUGGUUGCUUCCCAUUUUUUAAGAAUCCCAAUCUUAACUGGAGUCAUGCUUUUUUCCUAAUUAUGGGCCUAACCUAUUAGAAACCUUGCCUAUCCCCAUGGUGACCAUAUAGUCCUUCAUUAGCUCUAAGUUAACCUCUUCUUAGUUCUUUCCACAUGCUCCCUGCCCAGAUGCUUAGUUAGGAACUUAGGCUACCUAUUUUUUAUUCCCUAUGAACAGGGUAAUAAGACUGCUUAAAAUAUCAAAUAAUCCAAAUAAUAAAAUGGUUAAGAGCAUGAUCCUUAGGAUUAAAAAAAAAACAAACCAACUGGUUUCUAAUCUCAACUCUACCAUAUAUUUAUCUAUGUUACCUUUGACAAGUUAUUUACCCCUCUGAGCCUUAAUUUACCCAUCCAUUAAAUGGAAAGAAUAAUAACAACUACAAGUAAAGCCAUUAAAUGACAUGUAAAGUACUGAGUGUAAUACCAGCACAUGGUACAUGCUCAAUAAGUUAGCUGUUGACAAAAUAAUAAUUAUGUAAUUAUUAUAUCUAUUAUAAUUAUAGAUAGUAAUAACAAUUAUAUAUUAUAUCAUAAUCAUUCUUGGUGGGAACUCAUUGCCUAACAUCAUCUAAAACCACAGUCUUUUCUCCAGUUACUUCUAUUUUAAGGCUAGUAUUUUCCAUCUUUCUACCUAUAAGAAAAAACAGUGGAGAAAGACAAUGGAAACAAAAAGCAGAGACAGCCAAUCAGUCAGUAAAGUGCCCACCCCAUGUGCAUACAAUCAGCACCAGCUGUAGUCCAAUUAAACUUAAUCUAGUCACAUGCUCAUGUGCUCCUCAGAAAUUAGAGGAAAUCAAUUCAAAUGCUAAUGAGAAAGUCCAUAAUUUAUUAUCUGCUGAGGAAUGCAUGUUACAUUAAUUUUAACUGUAAACAAUUAUUUUUAUUGCAAGAUUAAUUACCCUAUCUUAUACAACUUCCUUUUUUCAUAUUCUUUUAAGGAAUUAGUUUUCAGUUGCUGUUUUGUGGUUCUGUCACAGUUCUUUAGCUUGAGAAAAGUAUAAUUAAUUUAGGGAUGCUGCAAAUGUUGUUUUCUAUUCUUCUGCCAAAAGAAAGUGGGAUAAAUGGCUGGGUCAAGCAUGGAGAAAAAUAGCUGCAGCUUCUGGUCAGAAUGAAAAGACAUUAGAACUGAGAUGGAAGUGGGGGGAAACCUAACAGAAUUUAAAACAUGAGUUCAUGUUGGUCACUUCUGACCACAGCAUUUCCCAAAGGCUUCAACAUACAAGUUAAGGCUUUAAAUUAUGCCUAAGUCCUGAAAAUCAAUGGGACAUGCAUAAGCCAGAGUUUCAUAGCAAAAAAAGAGACUAAUCAUAUUUUCUUAAAAUAUCAUCAAGGUCUAGACUUCUCUGUACAUGCUGCAUGGAGUGACUAUUUUUUUGUUUGGAUUUUUCUUUUUUUUUUUAAGUGAUCAGAAAGGGAUGAAAUUUGUGCUGUCAGGAUUCUGCUCCCUUGACAAAGUUGCCCUCACUCUGAUUUGGCUUUCAAGGUGAAUGAAUAUUCAGUACAGUGGCUUGGGGGAUUAUCCUUAAACCAAUCACUUCUCAAUGCGGAGAAUAGGACUUUAGACAGUGGCUAGCCCUCAUAGGGUUGAAAGUGAGUAUUCUAUUGUUUCUGACAGAUCACUUAUUUACUUGAUUCUUGUGCUUUCUAAAAGUUAAAUAAGUCUACUUCCUUAUAGGCACAACUAAAUUUAGCAUUUUAGAGGUAAAUAUUUAUGAAAUACCAAAAUCCAUUCAUUUACUUCAUUGGGACUUUCUUAAUUUAAACUUCCAGGGAAAGCAACUGCUAGCGAUCGAUUAAAAUUAAAUUAGCCUAAAUUAAAUCAAUAAGCCUAGUUGUUGAUUUCAAUGGGAAUUUUGUUAGAAAAUGGAUAAGAGAAUUGAGCCCAGAGAAGAUUCAACUGCUAAUUACUUGUAAAAGUUUAGGCUUAAAGGGUAAUAAGUAUUUGACCUAGGAGUGGAAACAGAGGAAGAGGUGCUGGCUCUGCAGGCCCUGGGCUCCAACCCUAAGUCAGGUUCAGCUGUGACUUCCUGUCAAGAGGAUUGAAUCCUAGUUAGUACUAAUGUGUUUCAAUCUGACCCUCUCUGAGAACUAUGGCCUGGGAGGCCAUCCGGCACACACAACAGUCAGCUGUGCUAGAGCAGACAGGAUGAAAAAUCAUCUUUCCUAGGAGCAACAAGCUCUCAGCACUCCACACUGUAAAUUCAAACCAAAAAGUGGGGAUUUUUGCCCCUUUUACAUGCUUUCAUGAUUUCUAUUGAAUAUUCUCAGAAGUCCCUACCAGGAGAGCAUGUGCUACUUAUCAGAAUCACAUACAGUAGCUACAAAAACCAGGAAGUGGUUAGAAGGGACAGGCUGUGGUGAUAAAAGUCACACCUGGUUUUAAUUUGAUGUCAGAUGUCAUAAGGACAGGCUCAGAAGAUGAAACUUCACUUCUACUCCAACCCUAUAGGGAAUUAUUGCUGAUUUAUUUUUAGCAAAGAAUGUUUCAUGCCUUGAUUUCAAUUCCAAUUUCUCUGCUUAAUAAAAUAAGAUGUCACAUAUCAACCUACAUUGUAGUGAAUUAUUUCAACAACCCAAAUCCAUUCAAAUCCACUUGAAAACUUACCACAAAACCAAGAUCUGUCACAAAACAUUAGGAUUAGUUACCCCUGGAAAACCCUCCUAUAUAAGACAAGCUGAAAGGUGGCACACAAGAAAAAAAACCUUGAAGGAUUUCUGAGUUUUGCACAUCAAACUCUUCGGUUCAAUAUACAUCAGGGUUCUAUGGCCCCUUGAAUUGCCCAGUGCCUAGCUUUAAACUCUGUUCUUUUGAGCAGACCAAAACAAUCUUACCAAGGGCCAAAUUUGUGACAGACUUGCUAGGCUGUAGAACUGAGUUCCCAUUGUGGCUCAGUGGUUAACGAAUCCAACUAAGAACCAUGAGGUUGAGGGUUCGAUCCCUGGCCUUGCUCAGUGGGUUAAGGAUCCGGUGUGGCCGUGAGCUGUGGUGUAGGUUGCAGAUAUGGCUCAGAUCCCAGGUUGCUGUGGCUCUGGCGUAGGCUUGGCAGCUACAGCUCUGAUUCAACCCCUAGCCUGGGAACCUCCAUAUGCCAUGGGUGAGGCCCUAGAAAAAGGCAAAAAGACAAAAAAAAAAAAAAAAAAAAAAAAAAAA